rnacentral:rRNA from 1 species
AGGGUAGUGUGAGGUGGGGAGUGAAAAAUUAUUUAAGGGGGGGGGUAUUUUGAGGGUGGAAAGGUAGGAUAAUGAUUAGUGUUUUAAUAGAGGGGUGGUAUGAAAGGUUUGAGGAGGUGGUGAGUGUGUGAUUUAAUUUGAAAUUAAAAUUUAAGUUUUGAGUGAAAAGGGUGAAAUAAUAUUGGAAGAGGAGAAGAGGGUAUAGAGGUUUAUAUUUAAUUUUAUUAAUAAUUUUUUGAGUAUUAAUUUUUAUUAUUAAUUUAAGUAUUUUGUUGGGGUGAGAAAAAUAUAAAAUUAAGUUUUUUAUGUAUUAAAGAUUAAUGUAUGAUUAUUAGAUGGAAUGUUAUUGAUUGUUAGAAUAAGUUAGGUUAGG